rnacentral:tRNA from 1 species
AGAGAGUAUAUGUGGGGUUACUGCUAAUAAUCUUUGGUCAAUUUAAUUUGACACUUUCUU